GAGAAAUUCUAUAGUGGUAGUAACAUGACCAUAGUGAAAUCUAUAGUGGUAGUAACAUGACAUGACCAUAAUUUUGGUGAACUUAUAUAAAAUUCUUGGUGUGUUUACUUCUGUUUUAUUUGCUCAUUAUUUCUUAAAAAUGCGAACGACAUCCUUUCAGUUUCGAACUCAUUUUGUUAUUUUGUUUGUAGUAUGAGGGAGCAGUAAAUGAGGAUGGAAGAGGGCCGACAGUUUGGGAUAAGUUUGCCCAUUCAUUUGGUAAGAUCAUAGAUUUCAGCAAUGCUGAUGUUGCUGUUGAUCAGUAUCACAGAUAUGAGGAGGAUGUGCAACUCAUGGCUGAUAUUGGAAUGGAUGCUUACAGGUUUUCAAUUGCUUGGUCCCGUAUUUUUCCAAAUGGAACUGGCGAUGUUAAUCAAGCAGGGAUUGACCAUUACAACAAAUUGAUAAAUGCACUGCUAGCUAAAGG